UACGUAGGGUGCGAGCGUUGUCCGGAAUUAUUGGGCGUAAAGAGCUCGUAGGCGGUUUGUCGCGUCGACUGUGAAAACCCGAGGCUUAACCUCGGGCCUGCAGUCGAUACGGGCAGACUAGAGUUCGGUAGGGGAGACUGGAAUUCCUGGUGUAGCGGUGAAAUGCGCAGAUAUCAGGAGGAACACCGGUGGCGAAGGCGGGUCUCUGGGCCGAUACUGACGCUGAGGAGCGAAAGCGUGGGAGCGAACAGG
rnacentral:rRNA from 1 species